rnacentral:lncRNA from 1 species
UAUAUUUCAUUUCAGUAGCACAUCACAUAAAAUAUAAUACAUCAUCCACCGACUCCUCUACACAUCAAGGUUCAAGGCCUAACAAGUGUACAUCAAAAUAAUUUUACAAGUGCACAACAUAAUACUUAUGCAACUACAAGUGCACAGAAAGAGGAUCCAACAAGUGCACAAUCGCACAUCAAGAGAGCUCUACAAAGAUUGAAUGAGAAGCACAAGUUUCUUCUCAUCCUCUUCCUCUACACAAUCUGCCACUCCUACUAUUGUCACCUGCAAGAAGAAAAUGAUGGCAAGGCUCAGAAAGCAGACCAAGGAAACUAACAUGAUAGAGCAUCAAAUACUAAUGCAUAGAUAAGCCUGUCGACAACGAGCCACAUACUCCCUCCGUCCCAAAAUAAGUGUCUUAAACUUAAUACAAUUUUGUUCUAGAGCAAGUGCAAAGUUGAGACAGUUAUUUUGAGACGGAGGAAGUAUAAUAAUAAAAAGGGCAGCAGAUAAUAAGAGAUUAUAGGUCCGUGCACAUGUACCACAAAGAAUAUCCUUAUAUUACUUAUCUCAAAAAUUCCAUGUAGAUGUUAGACAUGCUUGAAAAGAAACCUAGCUUAAAGAGAAAAAUAAAUCUACAAUCUUAGGAUAAUCAGGACAAUCUUGGUAUAACAAGAAUCAGCCCACGAGCAACAGAUCAGGAUAUAUAUAGAUAUAAAAAUUAACGAUUGUAAUUUUAGCUCAUAACCAGUUCUAAAAGUUCUAGUUAAGCACUUGCUCCUAACAAUGGAGAAAUUGUGAAUAAUCUAUAGUAAGUUUUCCCAAUUAAUUUCUUCUGGACAGUGAACUCAAUCACCUCUUCUAAGUUUAGUUGAAAGUAGAUAAGUCAUUUUGGGGCAUUACAUUGUUUCUUUAGUUUAAUUAGCUAUGCUUCUUAUGAGCAAAAACAAUAGUUUAGUUUAGUUUUAUAUAUUCUUUUAGUUUUAUGCUCACUCAGGGAUCCAAUUGGAUACGAGCAUCUUGCCGGCAAAAAUGAUGUUAUGUUUUGAUGGAUUUUUUAUUAAAAUAGAGUUGUUUGCAAAGAUGGAGUGUAGGAACGCCAAACAGGUGGCACACCUUGCAUUUUUAUCUGAAGAAACAAGGCAGGUCGAAUAAGGAUCAAAUAACACAAUGAAACUUCCCAUCAGAUACUCCAUGCAAUACUAUGUAUAUACCUAUGCACACCCAGCAAUACAGAAUAUAUACAAUAUAUUUAUUCAUAACUAGUAAAACUGAAUAUAUACUUAUGCACACAGCACACCUAUUCAACAAAGUGGGUAUAGAACCACUAAGACAGUUAAUAGCAACUUUAACCACAACAGUUGCAUAUAUACUUAUUUUCUCAUGUUUAUUACUGUACUUUCUACUCGAGAAAGCACUCUCAUUGAUCAAGGGGCUGGAAUGCUUAAACAUAAAAAGAUCAUCUUAAAAAGGCAUGCCUACUAGAAUUCGACAAGAUAAAAUAUAUCCACCUGUAUCAACCUAUAAGCCAAGGCCUCGUAUUUACACGUCCAAAUUUGUAAUGUGGGCCAAAAUAAUUAACAUAUACUUGACAAAUAACAGAAAAUGGUUGACAGGUGAAAACCUUUUGUUUUCGCAUCUUUUUAUCUAUUGUUGCCUCUUAUAUUAUCCCAUGAGAUACUCCAUGCAAUCAUCUCGUGACACCUGCAAGGCAUAAGCGGUUAUAAGACAACUAAUAUCAUGUUAUCUUGUGGUCAUGACACUUGUAGCAGGAUAUGCCAAUGAACAGAACAUAUAAAUGGGGUAGGAAAUACUGGAAGCAUGAAAAUAACGAGGAAUGCUCAAACCAUGCCACCUUGUAAAACAUACAUCUCUAGUCAAUGCUUCUACAUUUAACCAAAUUAUUUAGGAGACCGUUAUACAAACAACUAAGGAAAAUUUCGGUGAAAUAUUACAAAACAGUGGAUAUACUACAUAAAUGAAUCGGGAUUUUGUUCUUACCAUGCAUGUUCAGUUUUACUUAAGCAAAGCAAGACUUGGUCCAUCUCAAGUAAGAUGUACUCUCGCACGACUAACUGGACUACUCAUGCAUGCCUAGAAUUUGUUUGUGUGUACACUAGCUGAAAACGGGUGACAGAGUUAAGCAAAUGGCAGGAACAUCAAUCUUGUCUAGUUGAAAACUACAUAUAGGAGAAAAUCUGGCUUAGUAUUGAGUCUAGCAUUGACAAAUUCCCUGACCAUCGCUAGCACCUUCAGAACAACAGAUUUUAGUUCGUACAUAGCAGCAGAUUUGGAAUAUUCAUGUAAACAUUUAGAAGUCGCAAACACCUUCAUCAAUCGACAUCUUUCAGAAAGAAAAGAUAUAGACUGAUCGAUGUUGAACACAAAGGCAACGACGACAGUGAGGAUGGCACAAACAAAGCUGCAAGAGGCGUGGUCACCUUGGCCACAUACAUGGGAUGCCUAGGGUCCUUGCGCACGACGACAGUGAGGAUGGCACAAACAAAGCUGCAAGAGGCCGUGGUCACCUUGGCCACAU